AACUACUAGGGGUGCCUUCGGGCUGAGAUUUUACCCUUAGAACCUGAUCUAGUUAAUACUAGCGUAGGGAAGUAGUCUU
rnacentral:ncRNA from 1 species